CCUACGGGAGGCAGCAGUGGGGGAUAUUGCACAAUGGGGGAAACCCUGAUGCAGCGACGCCGCGUGGGUGAAGAAGCGCCUCGGCGCGUAAAGCUCUGUCAGCAGGGAAGAAAAUGACGGUACCUGAAGAAGAAGCCCCGGCUAACUACGUGCCAGCAGCCGCGGUAAUACGUAGGGGGCAAGAGUUAUCCGGAUGUACUGGGUGUAAAGGGGGCGCAGACGGCGAUGCAAGCCAGGAGUGAAAGCCCGGGGCCCAACCCCGGGACUGCCCUUGGAACUGCGUGGCUAGAGUGCAGGAGGGGCAGGCGGAAUUCCUGGUGUAGCGGUGAAAUGCGUAGAUAUCAGGAGGAACACCGGUGGCGAAGGCGGCCUGCUGGACUGCAACUGACGUUGAGGCCCGAAAGCGUGGGGAGCAAACAGGAUUAGAUACCCCAGUAGUC
rnacentral:rRNA from 1 species